rnacentral:rRNA from 1 species
AUUGAACGCUGGCGGCAUGCUUUACACAUGCAAGUCGAACGGUAACAGGUUAAGCUGACGAGUGGCGAACGGGUGAGUAAUGCAUCGGAACGUGCCCGAUCGUGGGGGAUAACGCAGCGAAAGCUGCGCUAAUACCGCAUCCGAUAUGAGGAUGAAAGCGGGGGACCGUAAGGCCUCGCCCGAUCGCAGCGGCCGAUGUCAGAUUAGGUAGUGGGUGGGGUAAAGGCUCACCAAGCCAACGAUCUGUAGCUGGUCUGAGAGGACGACCAGCCACACUGGGACUGAGACACGGCCCAGACUCCUACGGGAGGCAGCAGUGGGGAAUUUUGGACAAUGGGCGAAAGCCUGAUCCAGCAAUGCCGCGUGCAGGAAGAAGGCCUUCGGGUUGUAAACUGCUUUUGUACGGAGCGAAAAGGUUCUCUCUAAUACAGAGGGCUCAUGACGGUACCGUAAGAAUAAGCACCGGCUAACUACGUGCCAGCAGCCGCAGUAA